rnacentral:rRNA from 1 species
AACGAACGCUGGCGGCAGGCUUAACACAUGCAAGUCGAACGCCCCGCAAGGGGGAGUGGCAGACGGGUGAGUAACACGUGGGAACGUGCCCUAAGGUUCGGAAUAUUCCCGGGAAACUGGGAGCAAUACCGAAUGUGACCGCAAGGUGAAAGAUUUAUCGCCUUAGGAUCGGCCCGCGUCGGAUUAGCUAGUUGGUAGGGGUAAAAGCCUACCAAGGCGACGAUCCGUAGCUGGUCUGAGAGGACGACCAG